GCUUGUGAUUGAGCGUAUAGUGAGGGUAUAAAGCGUAUUAAUAUCAGUCCAUAACCAUAAUACGCCAUGCCGUUCGACUUAUCGUGUAAAUAUAGAGAUCACUCGAGCGGCACGGAAGCAAGUCGUAGAUCUCUGGCGUCCAAUGCGGUUGCAGUCGAGCUGCUGCAUCGCUCGAUGUGCGACCUAAGUACACGAAAACGUGGCGAUAUUUACGGCCACAACCGUUUACACCGUGAGGACUGCUUAUUUUUCGAAGAAUUUUCGAACAUUUAGAAAAACUGU